CCCUAGUUUCCUCAUUGGCAAGGUGGGUAUAACAUCUACUUUGUAGAGUUGCUUUGAUACAUAUGUGAGGCGACAUAUUUAAACUUUCUAGCACAGUGCGUGCCUCUUAGUAGGAUUAAUGGUUGUCUGCCUGUGCCCUGUUGAAUAGACUGUGUUUCUCUGUCUAAAGGAUUUUAUCUAUGGUCAUAACCUUGACAAACCUAUUAUGCUUUUAACUCCCAGAUGUCUAUCUCUCAUGUAAUCUACUCUGAAUCUUCAAGUCUGAAAUUUCUGAAGCAUCUUGGAUAUCUUCUCAUUGUUAUCUUGGUUUUUGCCAAUUCACUAUCAAAAAAUGUCUUCUGGACAAAAACAUUGUUGAAUGUUCGGACUACAUUUAAUUUUAUCUUCUGCUAAAUUUUGGUGAGUAAAUUUAUCAUAUUUAAAUAUAUGUGAACACAUACACAAAAAAAUUUUUACUACUACUUCAGUAAGAAGGUUGGUCUGGUUUAUCUAGAUCAGAGUUCAGAGAACAUUUCCUAAAAAGGUCCAGAUAGUAAAUAUUUUUGACUUUGUAGACCCUAUGGUAUCCCUUCUAAUGAUUCCACUCCAUCACUGAAGCAUGAAAGCAGCCAUAGGCAAUACAUAAAUGAAUUAACAUGGCUGUUUUCCAAUAUAACUUUGUUUUUUGGACACUGAAAAUUGAAUUUCAUAUAAUUUCUGCAUGCCUUUUAGAAACCAAACUUUUUAUAUUGAGGUAACUGAAGAUUCACAUGAAGUGGGUAAGAAAUAGUACAGAAAGAUGCAUGUACUCUUUACCCAGUUUCCCCCAGUGGUAACAUGUUGAAAAACUCUAGUUCAAUAACAGAGCCAGAAUAUUGACACUCAUACUUGCGAGGUACAGCACUUUUCCAUCACCAUAAGGAUCCCUCAUGUUUUUAUUUUAUAACCACGUCCAUUUCCCUUCCACUUGUGUGCUCUUUUCAGUUCCUAGUAGCCACUUAUCUGAUCUCUGUUUGUAUAAUUUUGUCAUUUAAAGAAUGUUGUAUAAAUGGAAUAAGACUGCAAGUAACUUUUUAAGAUUAACUUGUUUCACUCAGCAUAAUGUUUUGAAUAUUCAUGUUGGUUGUUGUAUGUGUUAAUAGUUAAACCCUUUUUAACUGGCUUUCUCUGACAAUGACUUUUGUAGGGCAAUGGAUGACACCACCACUUAAGUACCAGGUAAAGGUUAAAGUCCCGAUUCUUUACAUGGCCUCCAUUGGUAGCUAGCUGGUGUGGGAGGUGAGGGCCUUCUCUUUGUUACUGGGAGGGGAUGGGUGUUCUGGCUUUUCAUGUGGUCUCUUCAGUGGGAGCUGCUUCAUUACCACUGGGCAAAGGUGAAAGUCCUGACUCUUCACUAGGCUUCUUCUGGCAUCACCCAGUAAGGAAAAGGUACUGGGUUGGUUAGAAGUUUAGGCUCACCAUGUGAUCUCCACUGACAUUCUGGGGCUGGGGGCUCAUACUGGUUAGCAAGCAUGAAGUUCCCGGUUCCUACUUUCACUCUUCUGACAAAACUGCAGGGAGGUGGGAAGCAGAUAUUGGACUGCCUUGUUAUAGCCUCUCAAUGGUAGACAUCUAGGUCCCUUAUUCCACCAUUUUGGCAUUAAGGGGGGUGAGACCACUGUUUUUUUCCUGUGAUCUUUAGGAGGAGUGGAGAGAUUAUUAUCCAAAAAAUUUUCCAGUGCAGGUAAACCGCCCCUUUCCUGGUCCUUUGGCUAAAGAAACCAAAGAAGCUUUAUUUACUGGUAUUUCUGGGUUAAAUAGUAAGCAGAGUCUUCCUAUGUUUGAUUUUAUAUGUAAUAUCCUGAAUUAUUAGCCUUAUAUAACGGGAGAAAUAGGGAAAAGUAUAUCUAUUUCAACUUCCCAGAGCUGGAACAUAUUGCAUUUUAUAUAAUUUUUGUGUGCUACUAAAUAUUAUUCUUAAAUUUUUUCAAUAAUUUAAAAAUGUAAAACUAUUCUUAGUUCACAGGCCAUACAAAAAUAGAUCAUAAGCCAAAUUUGGCCUGGAGGUGAUAGUUUGCUAAUCCCCUGUUCUAGACCAUCACUACUAAUAGCAGAAACUCCCUUACUUCUUUAAGUUUUUAUACAUGACUGAUAUGGUUUGGCUGGGUCCCCAUCCAAAUCUCAUCUUUAGUUGUAGUGCCCAUAAUUUCCACAUGAUUUUGGAGGGACCCGGUGGGAGAUAAUUGAAUCACAGGGAGGUUUCUGUCAUACUGUUCUCGUGGUAGUGAAUAAGUCUCGUGAGAUCUGAUGGUUUUAUAAGGGGUUUUCCCUUUCAGUUGGCUCUCAUUCUCUCUUGUCUGCCACAAUCUAACACGUGCCUUUUGCCUUCCGUCAUGAUUGUGAGGCCUCCCUAGCCACAUGUAACUGUGAGUUCAUUAAACCUCUUCUUUAAAACUUACCCAGUCUCAGGUAUGUCUUUAUCAGCAGUGUGAAAAUGAACUAAUACAAUGACUGUUCAAUACUCUGUGCCUGAGGUUUCUAAUACCUGCAGUUCUCAGUAAUCUGAUUCUGUUUAUUUCUUUUCUCUCAAAAGAUUUGUCUUUCCAUUGUUUUGGAGCUGAUUAUUUGAUCUUAAUCAUAUACCUAAGUUGAGGGACAUUUUUCUCCAGACAGGAAAACUUUUCUUCUGCUUCUGUUGAUAUCCAGGGGCACCACUGACAUGGAAUCUUUUCUCUAGAUUUUGGCUCAGUGCAGAAGUCUCAUGUUAAGCUUCUCUUUGUUGCCUCUGGCUUAAGGUAUAGUAUCCAAAUACUAGUAUUUCUCUCUUGUCUUCAUCCUUCAGAGCAACCCAGGUGCAGGUCAGGUGUGGGGAUGAGGAUAUAAAGUUUUAGGAUAUUUUUAGACCUCCCCUACCUCAAUAGAGACCCCCGGUGUGUUAUA
rnacentral:lncRNA from 1 species